rnacentral:lncRNA from 1 species
UUCUCUCCUCCCCCAGGGUAGUUCUUCAUGGGUGCUCUGUGGGACAGAUGGGCCUCAGACUCAGCUCUAACUGACUAUGUGUCCCUAGUACCAUAUCAACAAAGUGACUCUGAGUGGGGAUGUGGGUGAGCUGGCCUCUGGGGACCCGGGGCUGGAUGACCUGGAUGCAGCCUUGAACAACCUGGAGGUGAAGCUGAAGGGGUCAGCACCCUCAGACAUGCUGGUGAGGAGGGGCUUGGGCCUGGGAAUAGGGUAGGGGUAAGGGCCAGGAAGGGGACUCCAAGGCUCCCUCUGACUUGUCUCCUCCCCCAGGAUAGCCUCACCACCAUCCCAGAACUCAAGGACCAUCUCCGAAUCUUCCGGUUAAGUGUAGGCCUACCUAGAGAGAGUGGAGGAGGGGGAAGGCAGGGAGGCCAUGGCUCACAAGCUUCUGGCUCUCCCCAGGCCCCGGAAGCUGACCUUGAAGGGCUACCGCCAGCACUGGGUGAUAUUCAAGGACACCACACUGUCCUACUAUAAGAGCCAAGAUGAAGCACCGGGGGACCCUAUCCAGCAGCUCAACCUCAAGGGCUGUGAAGUGGUCCCUGAUGUCAAUGUCUCUGGCCAGAAGUUCUGCAUCAAACUCCUGGU